rnacentral:tRNA from 1 species
AGGGUCUAGCUCAGUGGCAGAGUGCAUGCCUAGAAAGCACAAAGACCUGGGUUCAAUCCCAGUACCUCUA